rnacentral:rRNA from 1 species
AUAGCGCGGUGGUCCCACCUGACCCCAUGCCGAACUCAGAAGUGAAACGCCGUAGCGCCGAUGGUAGUGUGGGGCUUCCCCAUGCGAGAGUAGGGAACUA